UUUCCGUAGGUGAACCUGCGGAAGGAUCAUUAAAGAGUAAGGGUCUUCGGGCCCGAUCUCCAACCCUUUGCAUAACUACCAUGUUGCUUUGGCGGGCCCGUCUCACGACCGCCGGAAGUUUGGCUUCGACCAAACUUCUGGCCCGUGCCCGUCAGUGGCCCCUUCAAAUUCUUGAUCGAGAAUGAUGUCUUAGUUAAAAACUUAAUAGUUAAAACUUUCAACAACGGAUCUCUUGGUUCUG
rnacentral:misc_RNA from 1 species